rnacentral:lncRNA from 1 species
CAGAAGAAAAGAAGGUCAUCUGACCAGGGAGACAGAGACUGGAGUGAUGAGGCCACAGCCUAAGGAAUUUGGUCAGCUACCAGAACCUAAAAGACACAAGGAAUGAAUUCUAUUCCCUGGAGCCUCCAGAAGGAACCAGCCCUGUCAAUACCUUACAUUUAUUUUUUAUUUAUUUAUUUAUUUUGAGAUGGAGUCUCACUCUGUCACCUGCACUGGAGUGUAGUGGCACGAUCUCAGCUCACUGCAAACUCUGCCUCCCAGGUUCAAGCGAUUCUCCUGCCUCAGCCUCCCGAGUAGCUGGGAUUACAGGCUCCCGCCACCACGCCCAGCUAAUUUUUUUUGUAUUUUUAGUAGAGAUGGGGUUUCACCGUGUCAGCCAGGAUGGUCUCGAUCUCCUGAUCUCGUGAUCCGCCCACCUCGGCCUCCCGAAGUGCUGGGAUUACAGGCUUGAGCCACCGCGCCCGGCCGAUACAACUUUUUAAAACAUCUCUAGGUUAAUGAAUUACUCUGAAACACUGAAAUCCUUACCAUGAAGAGCAGUUCAGCGCAAUGGUUGUCCAUGAUCACCACAGUUACUUAAGACAAAACUGCUGCUUAGCCGGCUCUGUACUUUACUGCCACCACUUUUGCAUCAAUUCCAGAAAAUAUAUUAGAAUGCAAGAGCAUGAGAUGCCCUGUGCCAUUUAUUUAUAAAAAUAAAUCAACAAUAAUUUAUUUUAAAAGCAAAUUAUUCACUAACUUUGAUAUUCUUACAACUAACCAGUAAUAAUAUGUUACUGGCAGUAUCCUUUACAACUAAUCAUGAUAUAUUGGUGUGUCCCUAUCUAAGAACAAGGGUGGGAAAGCCACAGUCCAUAAGCAAACCCCGCCUGCUUCCUGUUUUUGUGCAGCCUGCAAGCUAAGAAUGGUCUUUGGAUUUUUUUAAUGGCUUUCUGAAAAAAAUCAAAAGGAAAACAUUUGUGACAUUUGAAAAGUACAUGAAAUUCAAAGUUCAGUGUCAAUUAAGUUUUAUUGGAACAUAGCCAUGCUCAUUCAUUUAUGUAUUGUUUAUAGCAGAGCCAAACAGAGACUGAAAAGCCAAAAAACUACUAUCUGACCCUUAACAGAGAAAGUUUGCUGACCCCUGGAGUAGAGAUAAGAAUGACACACAACCUCAGUGGUCACGUCUCUUAUGCACAAAAUCCUGAAUAUAGACAGUAAACUUAAUUCCAGAAAUAGUAGUAAAUACCAUCUAGGAUGGAAAUCCAUUCCUGAGUUGUCCAAACUUUCUGAUUUCUUUAAUGACAAAAGCCAACUUAAUUAAAUACAGCUUCUGCAUUCUAUCUGAAAUCAUGUUUAUAUAUUCACCUUUUGACUCAGCGGAGCAAUAAAAAAAGCACUGGGCUCCAAGUUAGAAGACCUAGGUUUUAGGCAAUUUCUUUUAAAUUGUUACAUUGUUAAAAAUGUAUUUAAGUCUUGUUUGAUCUGUGUAUUAAACCUAUUAAAAGAACUAAAAUGACUGGUAAAAUAAAGAAUCAAAAUGCUUUUAAGCAGAAAAGAAAGUUGAUAUAGAGUAAAACAUGCUCCUUUCCUCUAAAUAUAACUAUAAAAAGUCCUCCAAUUAAUUGUAAAUUACUAAAUGGGGGAAAAAAGGCACCUAGCUAAUUGGAGUAUGGAUAGUGGGUUCCAUUUAAUAAAAGUUUUAAUGGAUGUGCACGAAGGUGCAUGAAUGUGUAGGAAAUCAUAUCACCUCCUUAGGCUUCAGCUGCACCUCUGUAAAAUAAGAGCAUUGGAUUAAAUGGUCUCUAAAGUCCUGGCCAGCACUGGUAAUUUAUGUCAAGUGACCAGCCUCAGUUUUUUCAUCUGUAAAAUUGGAUAAAUAAUAGAAUCUACUUCCUAUGGUUGCGGUGAGGAUUAAAUGAGUUAAUUCAUGUAAAGUGCUUAGAACAGCACUAAAUAUAUUUCACUAGCAUUAUUAUUAAUCUAUUCAGGUACUUUACGAAAAACACUGGUUGGGCAUCUCCUCUGUGACAAGUAGUAUAUUAGAAAAUGGGAAUACAGACAUAAAAUAGAAGUUGAUUCUCUUAUAUUUAAGUAGGGAUGAAUGAAACUGAAGUUUUUGGAAUUAUCACUUCAGCAUGUCUAUCGACUGCUAGUUCUCUGAGAUAAUGGUCAAAGGCCAUUCUGUAUCACUGGUGUGAAUUCUUAUUUCUGAAAAAUGAUUACUGUUAGUACUGUUACUAAGGAUGUUUCUAUUUAUGUUUCAAAAGACAAAGUUCAGUGUUUGCUAACAUAAUUAUUUAUGGUUUGAGCAUAGGAGGAAGAAUAUAAAAAUGUUGGCCAGUCUCCCAAUAUACAUGAAAUGCAAGCCUUCUGAACCAAACAAACUUGCCAUAGAAGUAUAGUUUCACAUAUAGAUUCAUUCCACAAAUGUUUGCUGAGUACCUGAUAUGGAUAAAUAUCUGCUACAAUGAUGAGUAAUGGUCUCUGCAUUAGGGAGAUAACAAGGAGGACAAGCCAGCAAUUCUAGAAAAGUAUAACGAGCAUGUUGAUGAGGAAGCCCAAUGUGCUAUGGGAGCAUUUGAUGGGGGCCUGGACCUAUGUAGUCCAGAGAUUUGGAGGAAAAAAUAUUUAAGUUGUGACCUGAUAGGUGAAUAGGAGUUCAUCAAGCACAAGAGGUGGAGAAUAUGAACAAAAUGAGAGGUGAGAUAGAGCAGGUCUGAAGAACUGAGAGCCUCUCAGUCUUGCUAAGACAUAGCAAGUGAGGAGGAGUGGCAAAAGAUGAUAUUGCAGGUCACAGAAAUGGCUUGCAUUUUACCUUAAUGGCACUGAGAAGUCAUUGAAAGUUCUAAGCAUAAAUAAGCAAAAUCGGUAAUCAAAUGAGAAAUCACUAGUGAAAUAAUUAGCUUGAUUAGAAAUGUAAGCGGAAGGAAGCUGCAUUCACUUCUUCCUUCCCUGCCUGCUACUAAGCUGAAGUCUCUCUUUUGUUUUAACCUGUUUGUAGCUCAAAUAUUAUACACAUAAGAGAGAGAAAUAUAAAAAUAUUUGCUUCUUAUUUACAACAUGGCUGCCUGCAUAUCAGUAUCUUCACUACUAAACAGCCACUAGAGCUGAGAAGAUGAGACACAGGCCAGACUUAGCCAUGCCCAGAGUGGAGUCAAGGACUUGAACCAGGGGACUUGAGUUUGAAUCCUACCCAGUUCCAUUAUGCACUUGAUGUCAUUUAAUUUCUCCCCAUCUGCAAUGAACAGAAUUUCUCCUCCAUCCCUCCUUGGAAGCUUUUGGUAACUGUGUUUGUUGAUGUUUUCCUUAUUUUGGUUCAACUCCAGGAGAAUGUGAAAGCUCUCCCCACAGGCAGACUUUCACCUGUGACAUGAAUCUGGAGGGUGGUAUUAGAAAUCACAAUCACCAGUGUUGCUCAAUCAUAAAGCCCACGAAGUUGGAACCAGCUUUAAAGCAACAAGGGCAAGCCAGAGAACUCUAGAAUGCCAGAGUGGAAAUGUCUCAGCAGCACUAACUAUACCUGCAGACUUCUCUCCUCAAAAUGGGCAGUUAGCACAGACAUUUGGAACAAAGAACAAAGGAGUCCUUUGGGGCGCCUAAUGUCAAGGCAUUACUAUGAAUUAUGCUGACUACCUGUCUAGUUUAUAAGUCUGAACAUUUUAUUUUACUUAUUUUUUUGAGACAGGGUCUCCCUCUGUCACCCAGGCUGGAGUGCAAGUGGCACAAUUUUGGCUCACUGCAAGCUCUGCCUCCAAGGUUCAAGUGAUUCUCGUGCCUCAGCCUCCCAAGUGGCUGGGAUUACAGGCAUGUGCCACCACACCCGGCUAAUUUUUGUAUUUUUAGUGGAGACAAGGUUUUGCCAUGUUGGCCAGACUGGUCUCGAACUCCUGACCUCAGGUGAUCCGCCUGCCUUGGCCUCCCAAAGUGCUGGGAUUACAGGUGUGAGCCACCGCGCUCAGCCACAAGUCUGAACAUUUAAAUGGAUAUUCUAGGUGAAUUCACUUUAUGGGUCAUUUUCCCAUUUUCAAUUAUUUUUUAAAAAGCCACCUCAUAAAAAAAAUUCUACUCAAAAUCUCUACAGUCUCAAAAACUGUUGGCUUAUUAUUAAAAUGCCCUAAAUUUUUACUAAGAUGUUUUGUCUGAUAUAACACAUUUUUAGGCCAGGCACGGUGGCUCACACCUGUAAUCCUAGCACUCUGGGAGGCCAAAGCAGGUGGAUCACCUGAGGUCAGGAGUUCGAGACCAGCCUGACUAAAAUGGUGAAACUCCA